rnacentral:tRNA from 1 species
GGUGGCUCAGUGGUAGAGUCUUGCCUUGCAUGCAUGAGUCCCUGGGUUCAAUUCUUAGCACCA